rnacentral:rRNA from 1 species
GACGAACGCUGGCGGCGUGCCUAACACAUGCAAGUCGAGCGAACAGACGAGGAGCUUGUUCCUCUGUCGUUAGCCGCGGACGGGUGAGUAACACGUGGAUAAUCUACCUAUAAGACUGAGAUCACUACGGGACACCGGCGCUUAUACCGGAUAAUAUAUUGAAGCGCAUGGUUCAAUAGUGAAUGUCGGUUUUUCUGUCACUUCUCGAUGGAUCUGCGCCGCAUUAGCUAGUUGGUAAGGUAACGGCUUACGAAGGCGACGAUGCGUAGCCGACCUGCGAGGGUGAUCGGCCACACUGGAACUGAGACACGGUCCAGACUCCUACGGGAGGCAGCAGUAGGGAAUCUUCCGCAAUGGGCGAAAGCCUGACGGAGCAGCGCCGCGUGAGUGAUGAAGGUCUUCGGAUCGUAAAACUCUGUUAUGAGGGAAGAACAGAUGUGUAAGUAACUAUGCACGUCGUGUCGGUACCUAAUCAGAAAGCCACGGCUAACUACGUG